ACGCUCGACACCUACGGAGGCAGCAGUGGGGAAUAUUGGGCAAUGGGGGCAACCCUGACCCAGCAACGCCGCGUGAGGGAAGAAGGUUUUCGGAUUGUAAACCUCUGUCCUUGGGGACGAAGAAGUGACGGUACCCAAGGAGGAAGCUCCGGCUAACUACGUGCCGGCAGCCGCGGUAAUCUGAGCGGGCUGGCAAGGC
rnacentral:rRNA from 1 species